rnacentral:rRNA from 1 species
CCUACGGGGGACAGCAGUCGAGAAUCAUUCACAAUGGGGGAAACCCUGAUGGUGCGACGCCGCGUGGGGGAAUGAAGGUCUUCGGAUUGUAAACCCCUGUCAUGUGGGAGCAAAUUAAAAAGAUAGUACCACAAGAGGAAGAGAUGGCUAACUCUGUGCCAGCAGCCGCGGUAAUACAGAGGUCUCAAGCGUUGUUCGGAAUCACUGGGCGUAAGGCGUGCGUAGGCUGUUUCGUAAGUCGUGUGUGAAAGGCGCGGGCUCAACCCGCGGACGGCACAUGAUACUGCGAGACUAGAGUAAUGGAGGGGGAACCGGAAUUCUCGGUGUAGCAGUGAAAUGCGUAGAUAUCGAGAGGAACACUCGUGGCGAAGGCGGGUUCCUGGACAUUAACUGACGCUGAGGCACGAAGGCCAGGGGAGCGAAAGGGAUUAGAUACCCGGGUAGUC